rnacentral:tRNA from 1 species
GCAGUUGUAGCUCAGAGGUAGAGUGCUUGCUUAGCAUGUAUGAGCCACUGGGUUAGAUCCUCAGCAACACA